rnacentral:tRNA from 3 species
GCCGGAGUGGCGGAAUUGGUAGACGCGCUAGAUUCAGGUUCUAGUAUUCGAAAGGAUGUGCUGGUUCGAUUCCAGUCUUCGGCACCA